UCGACUGACUCUUUUCUUUUUCUUUUUCUUUUUCCCUUUUGGUGUUGUUGUUGUUGUUGAAAAACGAGGCCGGACCAAGCGACAAACCUCGUUUGAUAGAAAUGAAAA
rnacentral:ribozyme from 12 species